UGCAGUCGAGGGGUAUAAGUCUUCGGAUUUAGAGACCGGCGCACGGGUGCGUAACGCGUAUGCAAUCUGCCUUUCACAGAGGGAUAGCCCAGAGAAAUUUGGAUUAAUACCUCAUAGUAUUAUAGAGCGGCAUCGUUUUAUAAUUAAAGUCACAACGGUGAAAGAUGAGCAUGCGUCCCAUUAGUUAGUUGGUAAGGUAACGGCUUACCAAGACUUCGAUGGGUAGGGGUCCUGAGAGGGAGAUCCCCCACACUGGUACUGAGACACGGACCAGACUCCUACGGGAGGCAGCAGUGAGGAAUAUUGGUCAAUGGGCGCAAGCCUGAACCAGCCAUGCCGCGUGCAGGAUGACGGUCCUAUGGAUUGUAAACUGCUUUUGUACGAGAAGAAACACUGCUUCGUGAAGCAGCUUGACGGUAUCGUAAGAAUAAGGAUCGGCUAACUCCGUGCCAGCAGCCGCGGUAAUACGGAGGAUCCAAGCGUUAUCCGGAAUCAUUGGGUUUAAAGGGUCCGUAGGCGGUCUUGUAAGUCAGUGGUGAAAGCCCAUCGCUCAACGAUGGAACGGCCAUUGAUACUGCAGGACUUGAAUUAUUAGGAAGUAACUAGAAUAUGUAGUGUAGCGGUGAAAUGCUUAGAGAUUACAUGGAAUACCAAUUGCGAAGGCAGGUUACUACUAAUGGAUUGACGCUGAUGGACGAAAGCGUGGGUAGCGAACAGGAUUAGAUACCCUGGUAGUCCACGCCGUAAACGAUGGAUACUAGCUGUUGGGAGCAAUUUCAGUGGCUAAGCGAAAGUGAUAAGUAUCCCACCUGGGGAGUACGAACGCAAGUUUGAAACUCAAAGGAAUUGACGGGGGCCCGCACAAGCGGUGGAGCAUGUGGUUUAAUUCGAUGAUACGCGAGGAACCUUACCAAGGCUUAAAUGCAGACUGACCGAUUUGGAAACAGAUCUUUCGCAAGACAGUUUACAAGGUGCUGCAUGGUUGUCGUCAGCUCGUGCCGUGAGGUGUCAGGUUAAGUCCUAUAACGAGCGCAACCCCUGUUGUUAGUUGCCAGCGAGUCAUGUCGGGAACUCUAACAAGACUGCCAGUGCAAACUGUGAGGAAGGUGGGGAUGACGUCAAAUCAUCACGGCCCUUACGCCUUGGGCUACACACGUGCUACAAUGGCCGGUACAGAGAGCAGCCACUGGGCGACCAGGAGCGAAUCUAUAAAGCCGGUCACAGUUCGGAUCGGAGUCUGCAACUC
rnacentral:rRNA from 1 species